GUGGGGAAUCUUCCGCAAUGGACGAAAGUCUGACGGAGCGACGCCGCGUGAGUGAUGAAGGCCUUCGGGUCGUAAAGCUCUGUCAUCGGGGACGAAUGGUCGUUGGAGUGGAAAGCCAGCGAAAUGACGGUACCCGAGAAGGAAGCCACGGCUAACUACGUGCCAGCAGCCGCGGUAAUACGUAGGUGGCAAGCGUUGUCCGGAAUUAUUGGGCGUAAAGCGCGCGCAGGUGGGAUCUUAAGUCCAUUUUUAAAGUUCGGAGCUCAACUCCGUGAUGGGAUGGAAACUGGGAUUCUUGAGUACCGGAGAGGAAAGCGGAAUUCCCCGUGUAGCGGUGAAAUGCGUAGAUAUGGGGAGGAACACCAGUGGCGAAGGCGGCUUUCUGGACGGUGUCUGACACUGAGGCGCGAAAGCCAGGGGAGCGAACGGGAUUAGAAACCCCUGUAGUCC
rnacentral:rRNA from 1 species